rnacentral:lncRNA from 1 species
UACUAAAUUUGUACUGGGCGCUGGCGAAGGGCCUGGCUCCGCCACGCGCGGCCCUCUCGAACUGCCCGUGGGUACGGCGCGCGCUGCUGCCCUGUGUGGCCUGUGCGGGGAACCCGAGGGCCGAAGUGGGCCCCGCCGCAGCACAGGGGGACAAGAGAACCAGGAGCGGGCUGCCUGGGGGCAGAUUCGAACCCGUGCUCCCAGCGGAUAGAAGUAGCACUUGGGGACUCCUAAAAUAUUCAGCCCAAUCCUGAUUCCAGCUGCCCUCUCUAGGCACCUUUCCUCUACCCUUCUUCCAGUUUACAAUUCUGGUGAGUAGAUGUUUCUCUAUCUCUUCUCUUCCAACUCCUGCGCCCAGAGCCAGGAGGACUUCUGGAGCCCGCCCAGCAAGACCCUCUCUCUCCCAUCUUCUGCUCAAGGGCUCGAGGUCUCAGUGGACAGAGCUGAAGAAAAGCCGUCUAUGGAGCCUGCGCCAGGCGCAGACUGGGUCGUCGCAGUCUGGGUCGUCGCAGUCUGGGCCGGGGCGCUGGAAGUCUUACUCACUUCUCAAGAACCCGCAAGGGAUCAGGCCUGACCCUUUGCAAGUGACAGAAUCCAAAGCUUUGAGCUCAUGGGAAAGUGGCUGGAAAGAAGGUCACUGUAGGGCCGCACAGGUCUCUGGCGAGGCUACCCAAGAACAUUUAAAUCCCUGCCCAGAGAAGAAGAGGCUCCAGCUGUCCUGCACCUUCCUGGGAACUGGCAGUCCCUCCGCGCAGGGGUUCUGCAGCGACCGGCAGCGCGAGGAGACAAGGAUGGUGGCCAGUUAACAGAAAAUCAAGGCAGCGGGAAAGGGAGGAAUGGCCUACAGGGGCCAUGCAGGGGCUGCAUGGAGGAAUUGGUCAGUACACACAGAAGUGGAUGGCACUGGGCCAGGCACAGUGGCUCACACCUGUAAUCCCAGCACUUUGGGAAGCUGAGGUGGGUGGAUCGCCUGAGCCCAGGAGUUCGAGACCAGUCAAGACAACAUGACAAAACUCCACGUCUACUAAAAAUACAAAAACUAGCUGGGCAUGGUGGCAUGUGCCUGUAAUCCCAGCUACUUGGGAGGCUGAGGCAGGAGAAUCGCUUGAGGUGGAGGUUGCAGUGAGCCAAGAUAGUGCCCCUACACUCCAGCCUGGGUGACAGAGUGAGACUUUGUCUCAAAUAAAUAAAUAAAUAAGAAGUGGACUGCUGUGGUGUGAGAAUGCACCUGACAGACCUCCAAUUAUGGAGAGCUUACACAGCCAAGGGCCCCAACUGCUGCUCUCUGAAACUCAUCCUGCUUUUGUGCUGAGGCCACACUUCCCACAGGCUGCUCCAGCCAGUGACCAAGCACAGCAUGGACACUAAGACAGGCCCAUUCUGGGAGACGUGGGACUCCUCUGAUGGCCAACUUUGACUUGGGGACUCCCUGAUGGCCUUGCCAAACCUUUUUGAUAAAGCACUUUGGUCUAGGAAGCUUCUACCCGACCUUCCUUCCUCUCUCCUUCACUCAGGGUCAGACUUAUAAUGUGAUCUGACAGUUCCCCCAGCAUUUCCUGGCUCUUUCUCCUUUCCUUUCACAGGUGUUUCUCCUGAGAAAAUUCUUGCAUGUUUAAACCCAAUUUGAGGGAUUAUUGGGAAAAUUAUUGGGACCACUAUUGGAACAGUUGACAAACUGUCACUGGGGGUGUGUAGAUUAAAUGUCAGUAUCGUAUAAAUCCAUGUUAAUUUCCUGGUAGUGAUGACAGCACUGUGAUUAUAUAGGAGUGUGUCCUUGGUGUUUGGGAAUUACAUGGUGAAAUGUUUAGGAUAAUGGGGCAACUUACUUUCAAACGGUUCCCCAAAAAUUCUAGAUAGAUAGAUAGAUAGAUAGACAGACAGGCAGGCAGAGUGAGAAAGAAAGUGAGAAUGGUAAAACAAAUAUAUAUAAUGUUUUGUGGGGAGAAUGAAUAGGAGUUUUUUGUAGUAUUCUUACGACUUUUCCAUAAGUUUGAAAUUAUCAAAAAUAAAAAAUGUUUAAAA